CCCGCCUCCGGCGCCGGGCCUGGUAGCCAGCGCGCUUGCGCCGGCAGGGUUUGGUCCCUGAGGCUUCCUUGCUUGGAUCUGGGAACCGGGGCUUCUGAAGGCGGCUGGAGACUGCGGAUUGCAGAAAGCCCAGUAUGUGUUGAUGAGGAUGUGGAGAAAUUGGACCAUUACUGAUGGGCUCUAAAAUGGGGCAGCUCCUGGGCAGUGUGGCAGUUGCCCAAAAGGGUAGCCUUACCACCGACCCAGCAAUCCUACUUCUAAGAAUGUAUAUACCAAGAGAAAUUGAAAUGUGCAUCCACACAGAAAUUCGUAGAAUGUUCGUAGCAGCAUUAUUCGUAAUAGCUAAAAGUUAGAAACACAAAUGUCCACCAACUGUCAUCUCACAGGAUUAUGUGAAGAAGGUGCACAGGGAAGAAAGAACCGACCUGGGCCAAAGUGAAAUGAGAAGCCUCGUGUCCCAUGUACCAAGUACUUGUUUACUGGCUCUCCUGCAGCAUUGUCUGUAAUCAUUUUUAGAAAAGGGAUGGGGUGGGUAAAAGAAAUCAUCCAGUGGAGUCUUA